rnacentral:rRNA from 1 species
AUACGGAGGGUGCAAGCGUUAAUCGGAAUUACUGGGCGUAAAGCGUACAUAGGCGGUUAGUUAAGUUAGAUGUGAAAGCACCGGGCUUAACCUGGGAACUGCAUUUAAAACUGGCUAACUAGAGUUAAGUAGAGGGGAGUGGAAUUUCAGGUGUAGCGGUGAAAUGCGUAGAGAUCUGAAGGAACACCAGUGGCGAAGGCGACUCCCUGGACUUGAACUGACGCUGAGGUACGAAAGCGUGGGUAGCAAACGGGAUUAGAUACCCUAGUAGUCC